ACUCAAAGGAAUAGACGGGGACCCGCACAAGCGGUGGAUUAUGUGGAUUAAUUCGAUGCAACGCGAAAAACCUUACCUACCCUUGACAUGCUAGGAAGCUCACAGAAAUGUGGGUGUGCCCGAAAGGGAACCUAGACACAGGUGCUGCAUGGCUGUCGUCAGCUCGUGUCGUGAGAUGUUGGGUUAAGUCCCGCAACGAGCGCAACCCUUGUCAUUAGUUGCUACAUUCAGUUGGGCACUCUAAUGAGACUGCCGGUGACAAACCGGAGGAAGGUGGGGAUGACGUCAAGUCCUCAUGGCCCUUAUGGGUAGGGCUUCACACGUAAUACAAUGGCCGGUACAAAGGGCUGCCAACCCGCGAGGGGGAGCUAAUCCCAGAAAGCCGGUCGUAGUCCGGAUUGUUCUCUGCAACUCGAGAGCAUGAAGUCGGAAUCGCUAGUAAUCGUGGAUCAGCAUGUCACGGUGAAUACGUUCCCGGGUCUUGUACACACCGCCCGU
rnacentral:rRNA from 1 species